UAGACAUGAAGACUUCACCUGAAGAUGAUCCUGAAAGGAGCCCUUCAGAUUCAAAACCUUCUUCAGACAUAACCAUCAAAACUGAGCUGAUGACAAAGUAAUUCUGACAAAGAGUGAAAUCUGGAACAAAGGAGACACUUUGAUCAGGUGGACUAACUUCACUUCAUGAGGAUUCUGCAUCACUGAACUCCUGAGAAAACAUUUCUACUGUGAUGGACAUUUUUUUAUUUCAGCCAGGACACAACUCUCCUGACACAACUGUCCUGGCUGGGGUGGCUGUAGCUCAGGAGGUAGAGCACGUCACCUACUGAUUGGAAGGUUGGUGGUUCGAUCC